rnacentral:tRNA from 2 species
UGGGGUGUCGCCAAGUGGAAAGGCAGUGGAUUUUGGUUCCGCCAUUCAAAGGUUCGAAUCCUUUCACCCCAG